rnacentral:rRNA from 1 species
GGCUCAGAUUGAACGCUGGCGGCAUGCUUUACCAUGCAAGUCGAACGGCAGCACGGGUGCUUGCACCUGGUGGCGAGUGGCGAACGGGUGAGUAAUAUAUCGGAACAUGUCCGGAAGUGGGGGAUAACGUAGCGAAAGUUACGCUAAUACCGCAUAUGCCCUGAGGGGGAAAGGAGGGGAUCGUAAGACCUUUCGCUUUCGGAGUGGCCGAUAUCGGAUUAGCUAGUAGGUGAGGUAAAGGCUCACCUAGGCGACGAUCCGUAGCUGGUCUGAGAGGACGACCAGCCACACUGGGACUGAGACACGGCCCAGACUCCUACGGGAGGCAGCAGUGGGGAAUUUUGGACAAUGGGCGCAAGCCUGAUCCAGCCAUGCCGCGUGAGUGAAGAAGGCCUUCGGGUUGUAAAGCUCUUUCGGACAGAAAGAAAUCCUAUCCGCUAAUACCGGGUGGGGAUGACGGUACUGUAAGAAGAAGCACCGGCUAACUACGUGCCAGCAGCCGCGGUAAUACGUAGGGUGCGAGCGUUAAUCGGAAUUACUGGGCGUAAAGCGUGCGCAGGCGGUUUUGUAAGACAGGCGUGAAAUCCCCGGGCUUAACCUGGGAACUGCGCUUGUGACUGCAAGACUAGAGUGUAGCAGAGGGGGGUAGAAUUCCACGUGUAGCAGUGAAAUGCGUAGAGAUGUGGAGGAAUACCGAUGGCGAAGGCAGCCCCCUGGGCUAACACUGACGCUCAUGCACGAAAGCGUGGGGAGCAAACAGGAUUAGAUACCCUGGUAGUCCACGCCCUAAACGAUGUCAACUAGGUGUUGGGGAAGGAGACUUCUUUAGUACCGCAGCUAACGCGUGAAGUUGACCGCCUGGGGAGUACGGUCGCAAGAUUAAACUCAAAU